GAUGAACGCUGGCGGCGUGCCUAAUACAUGCAAGUCGAGCGAACAGACGAGGAGCUUGCUCCUCUGACGUUAGCGGCGGACGGGUGAGUAACACGUGGAUAACCUACCUAUAAGACUGGGAUAACUUCGGGAAACCGGAGAUAAUACCGGAUAAUAUAUUGAACCGCAUGGUUCAAUAGUGAAAGACGGUUUUGCUGUCACUUAUAGAUGGAUCCGCGCCGCAUUAGCUAGUUGGUAAGGUAACGGGUUACCAAGGCGACGAUGCGUAGCCGACCUGAGAGGGUGAUCGGCCACACGGGAACUGAGACACGGUCCAGACUCCUACGGUAGGCAGCAGUAGGGAAUCUUCCGCAAUGGGCGAAAGCCUGACGGAGCAACGCCGCGUGAGUGAUGAAGGUCUUCGGAUCGUAAAACUCUGUUAUUAGGGAAGAACAAAUUUGUAAGUAACUAUGCACGUCUUGACGGUACCUAAUCAGAAAGCCACGGCUAACUACGUG
rnacentral:rRNA from 1 species